rnacentral:misc_RNA from 1 species
UACGGAGGGUGCAAGCGUUGUCCGGAAUCACUGGGCGUAAAGGGUGUGCAGGCGGGGCAGCAAGUCAGCGGUGAAAUCCUACGGCUUAACCGUAGAAGUGCCGUUGAAACUGUUGCUCUUGAGUCCUAGAGAGGUCGCUGGAAUUCGUGGUGUAGCGGUGAAAUGCGUAGAUAUCACGAGGAACACCAGAUGCGUAAGCGAGCGACUGGAUAGGUACUGACGCUGAGGCACGAAAGCGUGGGGAGCAAACAGG